UGUUGCCAUGAUGACCGUUGCCUCAAUAUGUGGAUAAAGGUUGCCUUGAUUAAGUCCAUUUUCUAUUGCUUAUAUAAAUUAUGUGAUGGAUAUAUGUUGCUUCGAUGACCCUUAAGUCCAUUUUUUAUUGGACUAUAUAAAUUCUGAGAUGACCCUUGCCUCAAUAUGUGGAUAAAUGUUGCCUUGAUUAAGUCCAAUUUCUAUUGGCUAUAUAAAUUAUGUGAUGAAUAUAUGUUGCUUUGAUGACCCUUGAGUCUAUUUUUGACAGACUAUUCUAACUUUUAACAAAGUUAUAGUUUUACAUUAUUAUGCUCGUUAAUUUGCAACAUGGGUUGGAGUUCAAAUUGGUCUAAGAAAUACAAUGUUACACCAAGCCACUGCAAGUUGGUUUGCAUUUUAUCAUGUUGGUGUUACACUUACAUUUAUGUUUGCUGUAUGCUAAUCAUCAGAGUUUAUUUUACUUGCUUUCUAAAUUAAGUUUUUAUGUGACAUAUUAAUAAAGCUAGGAGAAUAGAGGCACCUGAUUAUCAGCUUCUAAUAUUUUCUUUGCCUCCUAAGGGAACAUACAGAACAGAACUCACUAAAAACAGGAAAUAUUUUUCCCAAAUUGUUGAAACUCGAAUGCUUAGUUUCCCUUGCUGAUUUGUAGUUAAGAGAGCUCAUUUCUUCAUGGGUUGUCAGAGAGUAUAGCAGCUCCAUUGGUAGAAGAAAGUAAAACUUGCGCCUUUCAAGUUCUUUAUCGGUUGAACUCAAUGGCCUACUUCAAGGUAGGUUGAGUCACAAACAAACUGUCCAAGAUUUCCUACCAAACAACUCAUAGUUUUCCAUUGGGCUAAACUUAAGGAGAAAAUGCAAGUAUAUUGGACCAGUUUCUGCAGUCUCCAGAACACGUUGAGGCGUUUACUACUAUUUAUUCCACUGAACAUUCAAGCGAAGAAAAUAUAAAGGAGGGUGAAAAAUGGAAAUUAAAACUUGGAUACCAUAUGGUAAUAUAUUACAGGAACAUGACCGCUACAUCAAAGUUGCACAUCUGGUUUACCUAUGAAGUACAGUUCUGCAGUCCCAUUUUCCUAUAUUUGUGGCAAUCACAGAUUGGUUCGACCAAAAUAAAACAACUCAGAUUUCAACUGUGAUUUGAGUCAAGCUAAACAGAUAAAAUGUGAGCUGUCUGAUCAUGAUAAUCUGAUUUCUGCACAGCAGGUGGGGUUGAAGCAAUCUGUGUUAACUUUGAUUACUCGGGAUAUUUAAUUCAUCUUUUAAAAGUCCCCACAAUCUAAAUGUUGCCUCAAUAUGUAGAUAAAUGUUGGUUAAAAGACCCAAAGUCGCAAAGCCUUGGGUAAAAAUAACACUUGGUGCUAUUAUUGUACUUAAAAGGUUUUUCGUUGCCUCUAUUAAGUCCAAUUUCUAUUGGUUAUAUGAAUUAUGUGUCGGAUAUAUGUUGCUUCGAUGACCCUUAAGUCCAUUCUUGCCUCAAUAUGUGGAUAAAUGUUGCCUCGAUUAAGUCCAAUUUCUAUUGGCUAUAUAAAUUAUGUGAUGGAUAUAUGUUGCUUCGAUGACCCUCAAGUCCAAUUUUUAUUGGACUAUAUAAAUUUUUAGAUGGUUAUAUGUUGCCUUGAUGACCCUUGCCUCAAUAUGUGGAUAAAUGUUGCCUCGAUUAAGUCCAAUUUCUAUUGGCUAUAUAUGUGAUGGAUAUAUGUUGCUUCGAUGACCCUUAAAGUCCAUUUUUUAUUGGACUAAAUAAAUUCUUAGAUGGUUAUAUGUUGCCUUGAUGGCUAUAUAAAGUCCACUUUCCUUUAACUCAAAUUGUGUAUGGUGAUUGAUUUUUUUGUUCUAACUAACUGCUUAAUCAGUACUACAUAGUAAAGUGCAAAGAGUGCAAAAUAUGAUAUGGUGAAAGCAAAGAGAUAUG
rnacentral:lncRNA from 1 species